CAUGUAGGCGGUACAAAAGGUCGGUCGUGAAAGCUCCCAGGCUAAACCGGGAGAGGUCGUCCGAAACCAUUGGACUAGAAUUCGGUAGAGGCAUGUGGAAUUCCGGGUGUAGUGGUGAAAUGCGUAGAGAUCCGGAGGAACACCAGUGGCGAAAGCGGCAUGCUGGCCUGAAUUGACGCUGAGAUGCGAAAGCAUGGGGAGAGAACG
rnacentral:rRNA from 1 species